UACGUAGGGGGCAAGCGUUGUCCGGAGUUACUGGGCGUAAAGCGCACGCAGGCGGUCGCGUAAGAGUGCGGGGACAGUGGGCGGCUUAACUGCCCAAGGGUCGCACAGACUGCGUGACUGGAGGGCCAGAGAGGGACCUGGAAUUCCGGGUGGAGCGGUGAAAUGCGUAGAGAUCCGGAGGAACACCAAUGGCGAAGGCAGGGUCCUGGCUGGCACCUGACGCUCAUGUGCGAAAGCCAGGGGAGCAAACGGG
rnacentral:rRNA from 1 species